CCAAGUCUAGUGCCGACCAGCGCCGCGACGCCUCGCAAUCCUCUCUCUCCCUGUCUCGUCUCUUCUCUUCUCUUCUGCCCUGUCGCCCUUCGUGCCCAACGACAGGGCUCUCUGUUGUUUGACGAGCGUGGCUCGUCUGGAUCGUCUCGAAUCUCGCCACCCGGUAAUAACGCAACCGAUUGAAUCAGCUUAAGGGUGAGACGUGGUCACGUAACGAGUGAGCAGUGUGAGCCCGUGAGUCGAUGGAUGAAUAAUCGCUUAGCUUUCGCGGAGCGAGAUCUUUCCAUCCGUGUCGUUCUCCCGUUCAGCGCGAUCCUUUCGCGGUGACGGUGAAGUGUGAAAGUAUCUUUGCCGAUGAUACUGGCCAUGACAGUGAAGAAUGGGAUUCUCUUUCGUCUUUGUUUCAUACCGCGGCCGACUGUACAAAAGUUGCACGUACGUGAUGAGACAAUAAUUUUGUUUGCUGCAAAACAGCCGAUCACAAUCGCAGGAAUGGCAGUAGAAGAAGUCAGAAUGACGGUAGAGUAGGUGUGUUUGAAACCAUGCAGGAUUCGGCCAAUAUCGUUCACCAAGUUCUCCGAAGCUCGACGGAUCACGUGUCUCGCGACCUUGACUUCCCAUGGCAUCGGAACGCUAAGAGGUUUACCUUGGUAAACCCUAGUAUCUCGGGAUACCACUCGGGGUCUCGGUCGAGGGAUUAAGACGGGGUUGUUGAACAGGACGACACGGGAGGGACGGUAGAGCAUGGGGAGGGGAAGAACAGAGAGGAGAAGAGAAGAGUGAGAAGGAGAAAGCCGACUACAGUAAUCGUACGCCCGUAUAAUUGAUUGAGUCUAAUGAGUUAAAGAGGAUGCUACGGUAUCGAUGGCGAAAAUUAAAGAGUUCUGGGUCACGGAGGCGGCGAUAAUCUCGGGACAGAGAAAGUAUAGAACUUAGGUACUUGUUCUUCUCCGCUCCCCUCUUCCCUCUUCGCACCCCUCCGCGGCAUCUCGCUCCGUCGUCCACGUCUCGACCGGCACGGGAGGAAGCGCUGAUUGUAAAUUAGUUAAAGGAGAUGCUUCAUUAGACAACGCGCUGUCUUGCUUCUUGAAGCUGCAAUUUCCCCGCGUUUAACUGUUUUUAAAGGGGCUCGCGGCAUAAUAACUAGUCGCGCGCAAACUGGCCGAUAUGCAUGUAAAUGAGUAUACAUAAUUUUUUUAUAUAAUUACAAAAGUUAAUAGAACGAUCGCGUAUUUUAUCAAAAUGAUUUAUAUGCCGUAUUGAAUACGGUAUUAAAUCAUGAGCAUAAAUUUUCACAUUUAUUGAUUUUUAUCUUUAUGAGAUUAAUUAAAAUUUUAUGGCGAGAAGUAAAGUAUGGAUAAUAGAAUGGUAGAAUAUAUACAUUCGACAAUUAUUAUAUCAUUACGCAUGUA
rnacentral:misc_RNA from 1 species